CCUACGGGCGGCUGCAGUGAGGAAUAUUGGUCAAUGGCCGUAAGGCUGAACCAGCCAAGUAGCGUGAGGGAAGACUGCCCUAUGGGUUGUAAACCUCUUUUAUGCGGGGAUAAAGGUGUCCACGUGUGGAUGUUUGCAGGUACCGCAUGAAUAAGGACCGGCUAAUUCCGUGCCAGCAGCCGCGGUAAUACGGAAGGUCCGGGCGUUAUCCGGAUUUAUUGGGUUUAAAGGGAGCGUAGGCCGGUCUUUAAGCGUGCCGGGAAAUUUUGUGGCUCAACCAUGAGAGUGCGGCGCGAACUGGAGACCUUGAGUGCGCGGAAGGCAGGCGGAAUUCGUGGUGUAGCGGUGAAAUGCUUAGAUAUCACGAAGAACCCCGAUUGCGAAGGCAGCCUGCCGCAGCGUUACUGACGCUGAAGCUCGAAAGCGCGGGUAUCGAACAGGAUUAGAUACCCCAGUAGUC
rnacentral:rRNA from 1 species